UUUAAUUCUAGUUCAUUAAUUUUUAUUGCCACAUAAAGCCAGUGGCUGCUAUUGGGCAGCACAACUUCAGACUAUCUUACAAGGUGAGCUAUUAAAAAGCAGCUUCAGAAUUGCAAUUUCCUGGGUUUUCUCUGUAGCUCAGAUCUCCCCACAGAGCUGUAGGAUUAGAGUUAUCUGAGAACUCAGAUGACUCACAAGCACUGACUGAUUGUAACUGUUCCUUCCUCAGCUGCUACUAUUCGGAGAACAGCAUCAGCCACUCGGUUGGCCGAACCUAGAAAAUGAGAAUUGUUCCUGAUUUUUUUCCUUUUCCUUCCUAUCUCACAUCUAAACUCAACAAGUGGAUGACUUGGUUCCUGCCAGCAUCUUCUCUUCUUCCGUUCUUUAUUAAACGAACCCAACAAUGGCAUCCAGGGAAAAGUCGAAGAUAAUAAAGAUAAAUUACACUGAGA
rnacentral:lncRNA from 1 species